AAAGGGAGCGUAGGCGGUCGGGUAAGUCGGAUGUGAAAUCCUGGGGCUCAACCUCAGAACUGCAUUCGAUACUGCUUGGCUAGAGGACUGGAGAGGUGAGUGGAAUUCACGGUGUAGCAGUGAAAUGCGUAGAUAUCGUGAGGAAGACCAGCGGCGAAGGCGGCUCACUGGACAGUUUCUGACGCUGAUGCUCGAAGGCCAGGGGAGCAAACGGGAUUAGAUACCCGAGU
rnacentral:rRNA from 1 species